UGUGUGUUUGUGAGACGCACCUCCCACAGUGGGAUUAGGUCCUGCCUCCUCAGCCACCAAGUCAGCGUGCACACAGCCCAGGAGUGCAGACAUGAAGCGUACGCUGGUGUGUGUGCUGAUGGCUGCCUGGAGCCUCGGAAGUGGCACCCAGACAGUCAACCAGCCGGUGGGGGACAUGCAUGCGCUGAAGGGCGAAGCCGUGAUGCUGGACUGCAACCACGAAGGCAACGACUACAUCUUCUGGUUCAAACAGAACAGCCAGGCAGCACCAGAGUUCAUCUUGAGACGCUUCAAGAGCGGUCAAGAAAAGACAGUGAGCAGCUUUGACCAGAGGUUAAGCUGCAGCAUCAAUGCUAGCACCCACCAAGCUCCUCUGGAAAUCCAAGACGUGCAGCUGAACGACUCUGCCAUCUACUACUGCGCCCUGCAGCCCACAAUGACUGACAGCUCUGCUGCACACGCGCAAAAACUCCUGUAGGCCCCUCAAGUCAAAGGUCACAGGUGGCCUGAGUGCUGAACCGUUAAUAUCAUGAAGUAAAUACACAUGUUACCUCCACUUCAACGUGAUGUGUUUUUUGUUGUAAAUAUGAGAGCCAAAGCAGACUUUACUUUUUAAAAUAAAUUGUCAUUUUUACCAUCCAAGUAUGUAAAUCUCUGGAAAUGUUUUGCACCGCUGACCACAAUGUCCAUCAAAAAAUGUAGUGAAUGAUGUGAAGUAUUAUUAAAAGUGAAAUUUGUUGGCACAUUUCUUAAUAUUUACAUGUUUUACUGUGGCAGGCGUUUCCCACCGCAUACACACUAGAAAUGAUUUGGUUUGGUUUGGUUUGGUUUAGUUUAUUUGAACAUGAAGGUUACAAUGGAAUACAUCUCGUGAAUCAUUUUUUGACAGUUCCACAUGUCCAAAAGGAGUAGGAAGAAGCAAAGCUUAUUUAAUCCUACCCCCCAUCCAUUCUACAUCUAGUACAGUACAUGUAGUUCACUUCCUGGAUUCCAUGUCAUGUUUUCAGUGAUAGUCAGGAUAACACAUAAUAGAUAACGGUGAGAUAACCCUCCCCCCAAAAAAAGAGAGAACAUUCAUAAUAAUGAUAAUAAUGAUGACAAUACUAAAUAAAUAAAUAAAUAAAUAAGA